CUGUACCGACAUCUCUGGGGCCA
rnacentral:piRNA from 1 species